rnacentral:rRNA from 1 species
GAUGAACGCUAGCUACAGGCUUAACACAUGCAAGUCGAGGGGAAACGAUAGAGAAAGCUUGCUUUUUCUAGGCGUCGACCGGCGCACGGGUGAGUAACGCGUAUCCAACCUGCCCAUCACUUGGGGAUAACCUUGCGAAAGUAAGACUAAUACCCAAUGAUAUCUCUAGAAGACAUCUGAAAGAGAUUAAAGAUUUAUCGGUGAUGGAUGGGGAUGCGUCUGAUUAGCUUGUUGGCGGGGUAACGGCCCACCAAGGCGACGAUCAGUAGGGGUUCUGAGAGGAAGGUCCCCCACAUUGGAACUGAGACACGGUCCAAACUCCUACGGGAGGCAGCAGUGAGGAAUAUUGGUCAAUGGGCGUUAGCCUGAACCAGCCAAGUAGCGUGAAGGAUGAAGGCUCUAUGGGUCGUAAACUGCUUUAUAAGGGAAUAAAGUGGGAGUCGUGACUCUUUUUGCAUGUACCUUAUGAAUAAGGACGGCUAAUUCCGUGCCAGCAGCCG